GACGAACGCUGGCGGCGUGCUUAACACAUGCAAGUCGAACGGUAAGGCCCUUCGGGGUACACGAGUGGCGAACGGGUGAGUAACACGUGGGUGAUCUGCCCUGCACUUCGGGAUACGCCGGGGAAACUGGGUCUAAUCCCGGCUAGGACCCCUGCCUGCAUGGGUGGUGGUGGACAGCUUUUGCGGUGUGGGAUGGGCCCGCGGCCGAUCAGCUUGUUGGUGGGGUGAUGGCCUACCAAGGCGACGACGGGUAGCCGGCCUGAGAGGGUGACCGGCCACACUGGGACUGAGAUACGGCCCAGACUCCUACGGGAGGCAGCAGUGGGGAAUAUUGCGAAAUGGGCGCAAGCCUGAUGCAGCGACGCCGCGUGAGGGAUGACGGCCUUCGGGUUGUAAACCUCUUUCAGCACCGACGAAGCGCAAGUGACGGUAGGUGCAGAAGAAGGACCGGCCAACUACGUGCCAGCCGCCGCCGUAA
rnacentral:rRNA from 1 species